GACGAACGCUGGCGGCGUGCUUAACACAUGCAAGUCGAACGGAAAGGCCCUGCUUUUGUGGGGUGCUCGAGUGGCGAACGGGUGAGUAACACGUGAGUAACCUGCCCUUGACUUUGGGAUAACUUCAGGAAACUGGGGCUCAUACCGGAUAGGAGCUCCUGCUGCAUGGUGGGGGUUGGAAAGUUUCGGCGGUUGGGGCUGGACUCGCUGGUUACCAGCUUGUUAGUGUGGUAGUGGCUUACCAAGGGUGUGACGGAUAGCCGGCCUGAGAGGUGGACCGGCGACAUUGGGACUGAGAUACGGCGCAGAAGCGUACGGGAGGCAGCAGGGGGGAAUAUGGCAGAAUGGGGGGAAGCGUGAUGCGGAGACGCCGCGUGCGGGAUGACGGCCUUCGGGUUGUAAACAGAUUUCGACUGAGACGAAGCGAGAGUGACGGUAAUGGGUAAAGAAGCACCGGCUAACUACGUG
rnacentral:rRNA from 1 species